rnacentral:misc_RNA from 2 species
CCGAGUUUACAACUCCCAAACCCCAAUGUGAACGUUACCAAUCCGUUGCCUCGGCGGGAUCUCUGCCCCGGGCGCGUCGCAGCCCCGGACCCCAUGGCGCCCGCCGGAGGACCAACCAAACUCUUUUUCUCUCUCUCCGUCGCGGCUCCGUCGCGGCUCUGUUUUGCUCUGAGCCUUUCUCGGCGACCCUAGCGGGCGUCUCGAAAAUGAAUCA